AUUGAACGCUGGCGGUAGGCCUAACACAUGCAAGUCGAACGCGAAAGUCCUUCGGGAUGAGUAGAGUGGCGGACGGGUGAGUAACGCGUAGGAAUCUAUCCUGUAGUGGGGGAUAACGUUUCGAAAGGAACGCUAAUACCGCAUACGCCCCAAGGGGGAAAGCGGGGGAUCUUCGGACCUCGUGCUAUAGGAGGAGCCUGCGUCGGAUUAGCUAGUUGGUGAGGUAAAGGCUCACCAAGGCGACGAGCCGUAGCUGGUCUGAGAGGAUGAUCAGCCACACCGGAACUGAGACACGGUCCGGACUCCUACGGGAGGCAGCAGUGGGGAAUAUUGCGCAAUGGGCGAAAGCCUGACGCAGCCAUACCGCGUGUGUGAAGAAGGCCUUCGGGUUGUAAAGCACUUUCAGUGGGGAGGAAAAGCUGGUGGCUAAUAUCCAUCGGCCGUGACGCUACCCACAGAAGAAGCACCGGCUAAUUCCGUGCCAGCAGCAGCCGCCGUAA
rnacentral:rRNA from 1 species